GUUAAGUCAGAUGUGAAAGCCCGGGGCUCAACCUCGGAAUUGCAUUUGAAACUGGCAAACUAGAGUACUGUAGAGGGGGGUAGAAUUUCAGGUGUAGCGGUGAAAAUGCGUAGAGAUCUGAAGGAAUACCGGUGGCGAAGGCGGCCCCCUGGACAGAUACUGACACUCAGAUGCGAAAGCGUGGGGAGCAAACAGGAUUAGAUACCCUGGUAG
rnacentral:rRNA from 1 species